GACGCUGACGAGUGGCGAACGGGUGAGUAAUACAUCGGAACGUGCCCAGUCGUGGGGGAUAACUACUCGAAAGAGUAGCUAAUACCGCAUACGAUCUGAGGAUGAAAGCGGGGGACCUUCGGGCCUCGCGCGAUUGGAGCGGCCGAUGGCAGAUUAGGUAGUUGGUGGGAUAAAAGCUUACCAAGCCGACGAUCUGUAGCUGGUCUGAGAGGACGACCAGCCACACUGGGACUGAGACACGGCCCAG
rnacentral:rRNA from 1 species